AACGCACCUUGCGCUCCUUGGUAUUCCGAGGAGCAUGCCUGUUUGAGUGUCAUUUAAUUCUCAACCUUUAUUAGCUUUUGCUGAUAAUGGCUUGGAUGUGGGGGUUUUAUUUGCCGGCUUCUUCAGAGGUCAGCUCCCCUUAAAUGCAUUAGCCGGUGCCCCGCGUGGAACUGUCUAUUGGUGUGAUAAUUAUCUACGCCGUGGAUGUCUGCAAAAUGGGUUUUGCACUGCUUCUAACCGUCUGUUAAUUUGGACAAUUCAUGACAAUUUGACCUCAAAUCAGGUAGGACUACCCGCUGAACUUAA
rnacentral:misc_RNA from 1 species